UAAAAAGCUAUGAUCAGGAAGAGUAUUCAUGAUGUUGAAUGUACAGAGAGUAGGGAGUGCUGAGAACCUGCCAGGAUAAUCAGAAGAAAAUCACCUGAGAGCUGAUGACUGAACCUUCUUAGUAAGUCAAUUCGUAAUCCUGCGUUAAAGGAUAGGGUAUGGCAGUACCUGAAUGGAUUGUUAAAAGGUGGUAUAACGAAGAUGAAACUUCGUCCUGAAC
rnacentral:ncRNA from 1 species